GCCCGACCUGCAGCCGGGCCGGAGGUGAUGCCUGGAGGCCGGCGGAGGCCCGGGGGCCUCGGACUCGUCAACACCACGGCCUCGCGCUCCGCCUCUGGGACGCGCCCUUCCGCCUCACGGCCGACGCUUUACCCCGGCGCCGCCGCCCUGACGCCCGCCCGGUCUCGGCCCCCGGCGAUCCCGCCCGGGCCGCCCCGCUCCCGCCGGUCCUCGUCUGCCCACCCUCCCCAGCCUCCACCCCCUGCCCUGACCGUUGCGGCAGAUGGCGGGCUGCGGGCAGAGCGGGCUGUUGCAGGGCACGCUGGGCCGCAGUGUUGAGUAUCUCAAGUAAUUUAUUGAACACUGCUGAAAGUGAAAAACAGAAUGGUUGCAAGCGUAUCGGUUGUUCACCCUGUGCUGUCUGGGAGCUGGGACUUGCCCGCCUGCUCAGCGUCACGCAAGAGUAACGCUAGACCGGAAAAGAUAAAAAUUCCAGGCAAGGAGACCAAAGUACAGGAGGACUGAAUAAUUGCCCCAGGCCACACACUCAAGCAAGACUUGGAACCCAAGCAGUUUGGUUACAGAGUCCAGGCAGUGAUGACCCAGCCAUGGCACCUUUCAGCUGGUAAACAGCCAGGUACAGAAUGGGGUACAUUCUUCGUAGCGGACCAUUGGAUAAACUCAGUUAUUUUAGUUUAGGGAAUUGGAAACAAUGGGUUUCAAAUAUUGACCCUACUACUUUCCUAACUUCCCUGGGCCUUAGUGAUUUCAAUUAUAAAAUACAGCUAGCAAAACAGAUGUUGCUGAGUAUCAGUAUUAACGCGUCAAUGACUCUAAAGGGUCAUGUAAAUGUCUAAUAUUAUCCCAUUUAGCUGAAGAAUCAGCUUACUUUCAUUUGUGCUCCAUCUCAGUGGAAGAGUCAUUGGAGGACAAACUGCUGCUGAGAUUGCUCUGCUACUUGUGUUAGGGAUAAUUUAAUUUCCUAUCUGUUAAAGGCUGUUAAUCCUUGAUUUUCACUUUUCUCAGCAGAUACAAUGACUCCCUUUUGGCUUUCUAAACACCCUGUGAAUCCCCAUAAUCCACUUUGCAAUGAUUACUCUAAAAUGUUCUGCUUAACUCUUUCUAAUUUUUUAAAAGAGAAAAUUAUUUUGUGCUUACCAAUUGUAUCUCGCCAAGAUAAAAAAUUUUUACUGUACUGUUAACGUACCGAUAAUUUUGCCCUUCUACCACAAAGGGGCGCUGUUUCAUUGAUUUUUGUUUGCGGGGAGGGUGCUUCAGCUAAAGUACCUUCUGCGCUGGUAUCUGAGCUGUUGAAAUUUGGCCUUUCAUAUGUUGCCAUUAAAAUGCAACCAGUUAUUUGAGACAAGAAACAAACCAGCAAAUAACCUUAACAUUAAACUAUACCUUCAUCCAAGGAGCUCAAAGAUCCAGAUGCUCCAAAAUUAAUUAGAAACUAAGCUUCAAUGAUUAAUACAGAAAAGAAAAAGAAAAUCCGUUAAGUCUUGAAGCAGACUAAAAGAAAAUUCAGUUAUGUGGAUAGCCAUUUAUAAUUCAAAUAUAGAAACGUUACUAUCUGUCAUUUUAAUUUUUUUGUAUUGGUGUUAUUUGAUGAAAUUGUUUUCAUUCAUCUGGUAGGAUUAUUAUUACCAGUGAAAUACCAGUCAUGGUGAAGAGUUAUUUCAUUGGAUGAAUGUAUUACAAGGAGUUUUCCUGUUUAGUUUACUAUUUUGUUACUGCGUAUGUUUGAAUUUGAGAAAGUGAAUUCCAUUUUAUAUCUUACAAUGAUAAACUUUGAAUUCUAAAACCUAAUAAUUACGGUAGAAAUGUUGUGAAAAAAAAUGGAAAAGAGAAUAAGGAGUACUUAGUAAUAAUCCUAACCUCUAGGAAAUCCUCCAGGUUUUGGAUAACUAUAAACAAAGUAUUAGAUUUUAAACCUUAAAUUUAGUUACUUAAUAAUCAAAAGGCAUGUUAAACUACACAUUUGUUAUCUUGUUCUAAAGGAAGAAGAAUGAGGGCCGAAAGUUAAAAUUACAUUAUACUUAACUUUCUUUACAUUUUAGGCCAGAGCAAGGCCUAUUUCUGUUCGUAUUAGGUUUCUUUUGCUGCAUAACGAAUUACCAUAAACUUAGCAGCUUCAAACACUCAUUCAUUACCUCAGUUUCUGGAGUCAGAAGCCGGGGCAUGGCCGCAUUAGGUUCUUGGCUCAGGGUCUCACAAGACAGAAAUCAAUGUGUCAGCUGGGCUGAUGCCCUUCUAAAGCUUGGGGUCUUCUUUCAAGCUCACAUAGUUGUUGGCAGAAUUCAGUUCCUUGCAGCUGUAGGGCCCUGGCUCCUCUUCUCUUGCUGGAUAUUAGGCAGGGCUCUAAAGAUGGGCUGGAUGUUAGGAGGCCACCCACAGUUCCUUGCCAUGUGGCCCCUCCAUAGGCCCUUUCACACUUCAAAAUCUCUUUCACCUGGAGAACCCAGUUCCUUUAAGGGCCACUGAGGAUAAUCUUCUAUUUUAAGGUCAACAGAUGUGAGAAUUUAAUUGCAUUUGCAGAAUCCCUUCACAGCAGCACCUAGGUCAGUGUUUAACUGAGUAACCUGGGGAAGGUGUGUGUACACUGGGGCACAGGAAUCCUGAGACCAUCUUAGAAUCCUGCCUACCUUUAUUAGUCUGUUCAGGCUGGUAUAACAAAAUACUACAGACUGGGUAGUCUAUAAAAAACAGAAAUUUAUUUCUCACAGUUCUGGAGUCUGGAAGUUGGAGAUCAUGGUGGCAACAUAGUUGGGUGAGGGUCCUCUUCUGGGUUUCAGAUUUCUUAUUGAAUCCUCAUAUGGCAGAAAGGGCUAGGGGUCUCUCUGGAGCCUCUUUUGUAAGGCACUAAUUCCAUUCAUGAGGGUUCCACCUCAUGAUUUAAGCAACUCCCAAAGGUCCCACCUACUAAUACUAUCACCUUUGGGGGUUAGGAUUGCAACAUAUGAAUUUUGGGGGGACACAAACACUCAGACCAUAGCACUACCAUAAUAACGCUUUAUAACAAACAUUUGAACUCAAUAAGUUAUAUUUAAAAUGAUGGUAUUUAUUAAGUAUCUGAGAGCAGCAUAAAUGACUUUAAAAAAAAA